AACGAACGCUGGCGGCAUGCCUAACACAUGCAAGUCGAACGAGACCUUCGGGUCUGGUGGCGCACGGGUGCGUAACGCGUGGGAACCUGCCCUUAGGUUCGGAAUCACUCCCCGAAAGGGGUGCUAAUACCGGAUAAUUUCUUCGGACCAAAGAUUUAUCGCCUUUGGAUGGGCCCGCGUUUGAUUAGCUAGUUGGUAGGGUAAAAGCCUACCAAGGCGACGAUCCAUAGCUGGUCUGAGAGGAGGAUCAGCCACACUGGGACUGAGACACGGCCCAGACUCCUACGGGAGGCAGCAGUGGGGAAUAUUGGACAAUGGGCGAAAGCCUGAGCCAGCAAUGCCGCGUGAGUGAUGAAGGCCUUAGGGUUGUAAAGCUCUUUUACCCGGGAUGAUAAUGACAGUACCGGGAGAAUAAGCUCCGGCUAACUCCGUG
rnacentral:rRNA from 1 species